AAUAUCCCAGUGCUGGUCUAAGGCCUCCUCUGCCUUUUGAAGAGAAGGCAUGGGACUUAUUCCACCACAGUGCUCCAAUGCGGCACUUGACUUGGUGAAGUCAACUGAAGAGUGCUUGCUGAGAUGGAGUUUUUGGAGGCUCUGCUGUUUUGAAGUCUUGCUGCUGUUUGUCUAGACAACUGCGACUGUUGCUUCUGUUGCUGCUGUUGAUGCUGCAGCUUGUUGCAUGCCACUUUGCACUGCUUUUUCUGUUCUGAAUCGACAGUUCCGUUUUCUGUUCUGGAUGCUGCAUUAAUGAUUGUACUUGCUCUUUAGUUAAUGCAGUGUUGUCAAAGUUAAAAUGCAAUAGUGGCGCUUUGACUAACCCUUACGGCGAUAAUAUUUGCAGCCAGAUGUAGAAAAUCAGGAUCAGCAUCUUGUCGGAUCAGUACGUGGCAGUUCAUCAUGUUUAUUGUUUGUUCGUUUGUUCAUUAUCAAUUUCUAUUUUACUACCCAUAUUUUAAUAUUAUUUUUGUUAAUAAGGCCAUGAACAUAAUUACCUAUCUAUUUUGAUAACCUAGUCGCUAAUGAUAUUUACUUUUGAUUCACUCUAGUCGUU